GCCCAACCAGCACCUAUCUACUACCUCCCCUGAUCCCCUCACUCUCUCCACUCCCAGACUCCCAGUCCACUCACGAUGGCAGAUCUCGGCGAGUCACCCACCCCACCGCCUCCGCUCUCGCCCCCACAGCCGGCGACCUCGUCUCGCACCGCCACCCCAUCUCAUCCCCUCCCCAACUCCCCUCCACUCAUCCGACGGCGGCUAGAGACGCACACAACCGGCGACCAACAUCACACAAAGGUCGCCACCGCCGGCGGUGGAAGGACAGUCUUCUCCCGCCGCUAGCCGCAGCCUCCGCCUCGCCCUGAUCCUUGGCCUCCUCGACCGUCGCUCGCUCUCCUGGGAAGCACCUCGCCGCCUCCCUGCCCAUGCCGUCUUCGCCGACUGCCCUGCUCGCGCCGACCUCGCGAAUCUCGCGGCCGCGCUUGGCAGUGCUCGACUUGUCCUCGCCGCCGCCAGCGGCGACGGGUCCUUCCCGUGCCUCUACCGCCUCGUGGCCGAGUCCUCCUCUCCCCAAAUCGACACCCGCCCCUUUGUCGAGCCUGCCGUGCCAGCGACAUGAGCAGGAUGGUGGCCGUCGAGGCUUCGGAUGCGGUCGACGCAGAUGAGAACAGUUCAUAGAGCCGUACCAGGCAGAACAAGCUGUUCCACGCAUGGGGUCUGAUUUAAAUAUUUUCGGAGAUGCAUAAUAUGCCAAACACUUCUAAAGGUGCCUCGUCCAUGGGCGCAUGAUAGUGGAAAAACAUCUGUAAAUUGUGCAGGAUCCUAUAGAGCAAAUGGGCAUCAUCGACGUGCAGUACACGCUCUCUUAGGCAGAUAAGUAACCUCAGACAACUUAUUUUGUGAAGACCGGUGGUUCAUGGUCUGAAAGUUUUGUUUUUCUCUCUAAAUUUUGUACUUAGAUAAUCCCUUAAAUGCUUUUUACUGCUUGAUCACAUAAUACAUGUCCGUGCAAGAAAGGAGUUGUUAACUGAAACAAUAAUGUUAAUUUUUGUUGUUAGCUGAAACAAUAAUGUUAAUUUUUGUUAACUACAAACUGUCUUGGACAUUGGUUUUUUCAAAUUAACUCCGUGUUGAACUGGUUCUUCUUGUUGUGUGCUGCAGCCCAGCAAUCUGUUCAUGCCAAAUGAUUGAGUCCUGGUGAGGUUCAUUGCUGGACAUGCAUGGUCUCCGCAGGCAAGGAACACAUAAAAGUAAUUCAGCGUGUUAUCAGAAACUCAUGAGCAUGAAAGAGAAAUUUGGAUCAUGUUCGAACAUGGGUAGAGAGCAGAUCGAGGAGAACUUGAAGAUUAAAGGCAAUGAAAGCUGGACCUGUUGUUGUAGGUCUAUACACAUUAGCAUCUGAACCAGAACAAUCAAGUUCAAAGCUCUCAUGGUUGACUGGAGGUUCCGUAAAAUGGCAGCGGGUAGAGUUCUUGUUCUACACAAAGGAAGUUAACUAACCUUCUUGUAUUAUCUUUAUAUCUGCAUGAUUUUGGUAGAUUGAGUUGUGCAAUGGAUUAACUACUUUGGUUCAAGUUUUCUUCUUCCUAGGCUGGUCCAGAUUAAGAAAAGCAAAAAAAAAUAAAAAACAUAGGAGAGUAGAAGAAACCACACAGAAAAGCAUAGAGUCAGGGGGCAGCAUCAUCUCGUCCUCCAUUAGUAGUAAUUUUUCUCGGACACAAAUCUUAUUUCUCAUACGCCAUUGACAAGACAAACUUGCUUGGAGUUUUGGCUCCAGGGAGCAUAUACUCCCUGGUGAACAGUAAAUAGAAAACAAAAUCCUGAAGAUGGAUCUUGUUUUGUAAACACAAUAAAUUUUCAAAAUCCUGAAGUUUUUCCUGUAGACUUUCAUGUUAGUGUAACAAGCGUGCUUGCCAAUUAUUUCGGUCUACUCCUUGCUCUUGCUUUGGUGUCAUCACUCUACUUCUCUCCAUACAGUUUCACCCUGACAUGAAAAGCUAGUUCUUAUUAUCCAUGUCAUUUGUUUUUGUAUGCAUUGGUAACACUCAUAUGUAUAUAUGUGCUCCUCAAAUAUUUGGAUUUUGAACCACCAGACCAUUCAAAUAAAUGCAUGGACUCUUACCUAGAUAUAAAUAAAUGGCAGGGAUAGUUGCAUCAGUACAUGCUUGAGGAACACUAUGUUUGACCACGAAGAUAGGUUUGUGCCAAGUACUGAUUUGUGAUUUGUGACAAGUACUGAUUUGUCACAAGUAUAUAUACAAACUGAAGAUAGUUCCAUCAGUAUAUAUAAAAACUGAAGAUAGUCAACUAAGUGCAUAUAAGUGCAUACUGGAUUCCAUAUCAAUUAUGUACCACAGUUAUUUUAACAAGCUCUUGAUAAUUAAAAAAAAGGAACACUAUGGAGCAUGUACUCCCUCUUUUCCAAAUUACUCGCCGCGGAAAUUGAUGUAUCUAGAACUAAAAUACAUCUAGAUACAUCCAUACAUGCGACAAGUAAUUCGGAACGGAGGGAGUAUAUAGCAAAUUAUCCUCUCUGAGCCAUGUUCUUGGUACAGAUUACUUCGGUAGAACGUCAGAUAAAUUAUAGCCGGGGUUAGGAUACCUCUCGAGAAGCAGUAUAUGCCUCGCUAGCACACAAGAACAGUCAGUUCCAUGUAUGAAUCGGACGAACAGUUGGGGCUAUGCCACACCACCAAUCGAACAGUUCCGCGCCAGGACCCUUGUCUCGCUCGCAGCCGCGCCGGCACCCGUGGAUCGCUGGAAGCCAGGCCGGCACCCGUGUCUAGCUGGCAGCCGCGCCCGACACCGGGGGCAAAGUUUGAAGAAACAGGCCUCGCACACCUGAUCCGACGGCAAACUUUAAAGAAACAGUUCAAAUCCACAUGAUCCGAACGCAAACCUGGAAGCGUGGAGAAUCAGGCCUUGCUCGCCCCGCUCGGAAGAUAGGAUUUGGAAAUUGUUUGUUGUAUAUGGAAAGAGCAAAAAUAUUAGAUUAAACUGUUGUUUAUGGAAGCUUCUCGUGACGGAAUUUUCCGAUAUGGUUCCAUAUGAUUUGAUUUGAUUGGUGUCGUAAAUUGAAGGGAAGGACGGAAGGUUUGUUGUUUUA